UACGAAGGGGGCUAGCGUUGCUCGGAAUCACUGGGCGUAAAGCGCAUGUAGGCGGAUCUUUAAGUCAGGGGUGAAAUCCCAAGGCUCAACCUUGGAACUGCCUUUGAUACUGGGGAUCUCGAGUCCGGAAGAGGUGAGUGGAACUGCGAGUGUAGAGGUGAAAUUCGUAGAUAUUCGCAAGAACACCAGUGGCGAAGGCGGCUCACUGGUCCGGUACUGACGCUGAGGUGCGAAAGCGUGGGGAGCAAACAGG
rnacentral:rRNA from 1 species